UAAUACCUACGGGAGGCAGCAGUAGGGAAUCUUUCACAAUGGGCGAAAGCCUGAUGGAGCAACGCCGCGUGAGUGAAGAAGUAUCUCGGUACGUAAAGCUCUAUCAGCAGGGAAGAAAAUGACGGUACCUGACUAAGAAGCCCCGGCUAACUACGUGCCAGCAGCCGCGGUAAUACGUAGGGGGCAAGCGUUAUCCGGAUUUACUGGGUGUAAAGGGAGCGUAGACGGCAGCACAAGUCUGGAGUGAAAUCCCGGGGCUUAACCCCGGAACUGCUUUGGAAACUGUGCGGCUGGCGUGCAGGAGG
rnacentral:rRNA from 1 species